AUUGAACGCUGGCGGCAGGCCUAACACAUGCAAGUCGAACGAGUGGCGGACGGGUGAGUAAUGUCUGGGAAACUGCCCGAUGGAGGGGGAUAACUACUGGAAACGGUAGCUAAUACCGCAUACCAUCGGAUGUGCCCAGAUGGGAUUAGCUAGUAGGUGGGGUAACGGCUCACCUAGGCGACGAUCCCUAGCUGGUCUGAGAGGAUGACCAGCCACACUGGAACUGAGACACGGUCCAGGGUGCUACGGUAGGCAGAAGUGGGGAAUAGUGCAGAAGGGGCGCAAGCAUGAGGCAGCCAUGACGCGUGUAUGAAGAAGGCCGUAGGGUGGGAAAGUACUGUCAGCGAGGGGGCGUUACGCGCAGAAGAAGCACCGGCUAACUCCGUGCCAGCAGCCGCGGUAAUUC
rnacentral:rRNA from 1 species